CACGUAGGGUGCGAGCGUUGUCCGGAAUUAUUGGGCGUAAAGAGCUCGUAGGCGGUGUGUCGCGUCGGCCGUGAAAACCUGCAGCUUAACUGUGGGCUUGCGGUCGAUACGGGCAUCACUGGAGUUCGGCAGGGGAGACUGGAAUUCCUGGUGUAGCGGUGAAAUGCGCAGAUAUCAGGAGGAACACCGGUGGCGAAGGCGGCUCACUGGCCCGAUACUGACGCUGAGACGCGAAAGCGUGGGGAGCAAACAGG
rnacentral:rRNA from 1 species